GGGCAUGUAUCUCAGCUGGAUAGAGUAUGUGGCUACGAACUACAGUGUCGGGGGUUCGAAUCCCUCCUUGCCCG
rfam:Bathycoccus prasinos genomic : Chloroplast.